rnacentral:rRNA from 1 species
UGCGUAGGUGGUUAGGUAAGACCUGUGGGAAAGACCUGGGCUUAACCCAGGAAGGUCGCAGGUGACUGCCUGGCUAGAGGGCGGGAGAGGAGCGCGGAAUUCCCGGUGUAGCGGUGAAAUGCGUAGAGAUCGGGAGGAAGGCCGGUGGCGAAGGCGGCGCUCUGGAACGUUCCUGACACUGAGGCACGAAAGCGUGGGGAGCAAACAGGAUUAGAUACCCUGGUAGUCCACGCCUAAACGAUGGGUACUAAGUGUCGGCGGGUUACCGCCGGUGCCGCACCUAACGGAGUAAGUACCCCGCCUGGGGAGUACGGCCGCAAGGUUGAA